GGGGCACAUAUGGACCUGAGAGAGGGCUCCAGGAGCUAAAAGUGGUACCUGAAUGACAGUUAGAUAGGGACUUAAUUUUCAAACAACCUUAUUGAGCCUGGAAGCAGAUUCCUUAUCAAAGCCUCCAGUAAGGAACAAAGACUUGCUGUCACCUUGACUUUAGCCCUGUGAGCCCCAUGGGGGACUUGGAACCUACAUAACAGGAGGUCAUAAAUGGAGCUACAUAAAACCACUUGGGUUGUGGUAAUUUCUGUGGCUCUGUGACCUCUGUUUAGACUGGAAAAAACUUAUGUCCACCCCUCAGCAGGUGAACAUAACAUAGAUGCUCAAGAAGACAAUGGAGGAUGAGGCUGAGGGAAGAGGGCGUGUGGAAUAGAGAGAUUCUGUGAGGUCACAAGGCCCCCAAGAGAGUGAAAUUCCAAGUGUCCAAGAGGACACUUUUACCAAAGCUCACAGGAAUAUGCUGGUGACAAGGGCCUGCUUCACUAAAAAGACCCCUGGUCAAGCCUGUGGAGCCUGAGAGAGAGCAGAAGCCACAGCCCCUGCAGCCAGAAGAUCUGCAACUAGAUCUUCAAGGGAAUUCCCUACCCUGGCUUUUGGCAGGGCUAAGGGGAGUAGCUGGAGACAUGGCUCCCAUCACUUCACAAAUACACAGACCUCCAUCCUCCUCCAUUCCAGAAGUCUGCUCUCUGUGCAGUGGGAGGCUUCAGAGACUUACAACCAAGACAGGCCCUGUAAUCUCCAGCCAGUGACCACUUUUCUCACCUGGACCCUGUGCAGCUGAUGUUGUCCUCCUCUUCUUGCACCAAAGGAGCCAAAACAAGAUGAUCACAGCACCAACAACAGCAGCCAGAAUGGUGGGCCAUCGGCUCCGAAGCAGCAGUGCAGUGCCUGAAAGAAGGCUUGUUACACUCUGGGACUGGGGCUCAAGGCUUCCCCCCUCUUACCACCCUGGUCACUGACUCACCUUGUUGGGAACCCCUGAUGGGACCCUCAGGCUCACUACAAGACACAGUGCCAUUAAUGUGAUUCCCGCUGUGUCCCACGUGACAGCUGAACCUCUGCUCCUGUCCUUGGGGAAUCCUGGUGGACACCCAGGUCUGGUAGGUCCCAUUCCCAUAGGACAGGAUACUCCCAGACUUCUGUGUGUCCUGGCUCAGGGGUUUCCCAUCCUGAAGCCAGGUCAGAAAGAUAUUCUUGGGAUAGAAGCCCAAAGCCCAACAUGUCAUGAUGAUGGUGUCUUCCAAGACCUCAUCACAGGUUAUAUUCACUUUUGGGGACACUGGAGAAGAAAAGGCAGAAAAAGCAGAACAAGUCAGGGAUGUUUUCUAACCUAUCUCCCCUCUAAUAAAGGAAGAGGGAACAGGG